UUUACCGCCAAUAAUCAUAUGCAAUUUGAAAAAACGUGGUUGACUUCCAUUACUUUGAGAUAAUUAGUCAGUUAUCUUCUCUUAAAAUUUUAAACAACCCAUUAUUUUCAAACUACCCAUUAUCUUUUCUUCACCAAACUACCCAUUAUCUUCUCUAAAAAAACCAACCCAUUACAUUAUAAUUUUUCCGCAACUGCAACUCUGUCUUUCUCCAAAACACAGCUGCUUCUCACUUCUUUGAGCGACACACGCUCCCAUGUUCGGCCUCUCCGGCCUCCGCUCGCUGCCGUUACAUGUCAUCCACAGUUGGAACAUCGUUAUUGUUAGUGCCGCUUCGAUCGAAUUUCAUCAGCCACAUUAUUGAGUCGCGACCUCGCCGGUGACCACCGCACCAGUCUAGCGCCUUGCAGUGCUAUUCCAGCUGAACUGCCACCAUUGUAAAAGACCUUGCUAAUAAUAAUAUGAGUGCAUUGCAUGCACGAUGCAGAAGAACUUCAAGGAAUUGAGGUUGAUGUAAAUUGUAUUUAUAGUGCACUUACAAUCUCCAAAUAAAGAGGAUUAAAAUUGCGAUAAAGUGCACUUAAAAUUUGUUUUUUUUUUUUUUUUCAAUUUGAUCAGAACAUGUAGAAGACUUAACAAUUGAGAUUAUUCUUGAAAAUAUUUCUAUAACCAUUUGUAUUUUACUAUUAUAGAGAUAAUAACAGUUAAAUUAUUAAUUUGAUA